CCUACGGGCGGCUGCAGUGAGGAAUAUUGGUCAAUGGCCGGAAGGCUGAACCAGCCAUGCCGCGUGAAGGUCAGUGCCCUAUGGGCGUUAAACUUCUUUUGUGCGGGAGCAAUAAUGGUCACGUGUGGCCAGACGAGAGUACCGUACGAAUAAGCAUCGGCUAACACCGUGCCAGCAGCCGCGGUAAUACGGGGGAUGCAAGCGUUAUCCGGAGUUUUAGGGUUUAAAGGGUGGGUAGGCUGGGAGGUAAGUCAGCGGGGAAAUGCCCCGGCUCAACGGGGUGAAGUGCCAUUGAUACUGCCUUGCUGGAAUGCGGAUGACGUGGGAGGAAUGUGUGGUGUAGCGGUGAAAUGCAUAGAUAUCACACAGAACACCGAUUGCGAAGGCAUCUCACGAAUCCGCGAUUGACGCUGAUGCACGAAAGCGUGGGUAUCAAACAGGAUUAGAUACCCGUGUAGUC
rnacentral:rRNA from 1 species